rnacentral:SRP_RNA from 1 species
AUCGGGGUGUUAGCGGUACUCUGUAACCUCCAAUCCGCUUCAGGAGGGAUGAAAACUUGUGUUGAGGUGCAAGAAUGUCUUGUCUGACUCAGUUUGGGCUGUGCUGACGAUUCGGUCCUGCGCAAUUAAAGCCUGUGAACCACGUCAGGGCAGGAAUGCAGCAGCGUUAAGCAGUUUCUUUUAAUGUGCCGCAGGGUCGCCGAAUCCGAGCAGACCGAUUGU